rnacentral:rRNA from 1 species
GAACGCGAAGAACCUUACCAGGACUUGACAUCCUCUUGACAGAUCCUUAAUCGGAUCCUUCUUCGGACAAGAGAGACAGGUGGUGCAUGGUUGUCGUCAGCUCGUGUCGUGAGAUGUUGGGUUAAGUCCCGCAACGAGCGCAACCCUUGCCAUUAGUUGCCAUCAUUUAGUUGGGCACUCUAGUGGGACUGCCGGGGAAAACUCGGAGGAAGGUGGGGAUGACGUCAAAUCAUCAUGCCCCUUAUGACCGGGGCUACACACGUGCUACAAUGGCAGUUACAGAGGGAAGCGAAGGCGUGAGCCGGAGCAAAUCCCAAAAGGCUGCCUCAGUUCGGAUUGUAGCCUGCAACUCGACUACAUGAAGCUGGAAUCGCUAGUAAUCGCGAAUCAGAAUGUCGCGGUGAAUACGUUCCCGGGUCUUGUACACACC